rnacentral:rRNA from 1 species
AGUGAACGCUGGCGGCGUGCUUAACACAUGCAAGUCGAACGAGAACGGGCUAUAGCUUGCUAUAGUUGUCAGCUAAGUGGCGCACGGGUGAGUAAUGUAUAGGUAAUAUGCCUCUUACUAAGGGAUAACAAAUGGAAACGUUUGCUAAUACCUUAUACUCCUUAUUAACAGAAGUUAAUAAGGGAAAGAUUUAUUGGUAAGAGAUUAGCCUGUAUUGUAUCAGUUAGUUGGUGGGGUAAUGGCUUACCAAGACUAUGACACAUAACUGGUUUGAGAGGAUGAUCAGUCACGCUGGAACUGAGACACGGUCCAGACUCCUACGGGAGGCAGCAGUGGGGAAUAUUGCACAAUGGACGAAAGUCUGAUGCGGCAACGCCGCGUGGAGGAUGACACAUUUCGGUGCGUAAACUCCUUUUAUAUGAGAAGAUAAUGACGGUAUUAUAUGAAUAAGCACCGGCUAACUCCGUGCCAGCAGCCGCGGUAA